GUUUGUUCGUAACCCGCCAUUAAACCAAAAGAAGAAGAAGAAGAUUGUAACGUCAGCUCAUCGUAAGCAUUAGAUUAUUCACCCAGUGUUUAUUCACAAGAUUGACCAAAUCUUAUUUAGAUGACCAAAUUAUGAACAAUGACCCACCCUGAGGCUGUAAGAGUGUGCCUGAUGAGAGAAUGCGUACUUGAAGCAGUUAUAGGACUUAGUAUAUUCAAGAAGACCAAGCGAUCCUUAUAGGACUACAUGCAAAGCAAUGUACUCCAGACCGCACAACUGGACAUACAGAUUGUGCCCUGAUGCCAUCUGCCCCGUUCUCCCAGCCUCAUCUUCCCUCUCUAUGCCUAGCUUCACAUCGAUUGGCUCUUCUUUGGCUCCCCUCAUCCCGUCUGCCUGCCUCGCUGCUCUCCCUGAUAACAUUUCCUGACUGAUGCCUUGCACUCUGACUCUUUCUGCAAGGUGCCAUUCUCAGCAGUGACUCAAUUUAGUGCCACCCUGCUGCUUGGCAUUGCACUUCUGAGGUCAUCACCAUCUUUCUUCAGCCAACCAAAAUGAUUCUCACCAACCACCCCAGCUCUGCUAAGCUUGAUGUUGGAGGUCUGCUGUUUUUGAAGCAGGGGACCACUGUCCAUUAAAGGCUUCAUAAUCCAUUUAACAAAAUCACAUAAGAUAGGGUAGUUCAUACUCCAUGCGAUGUGCCAUACAAUGGAAGGGCCAUGUUCCUUAUCACAUCUGGAUACUGCAAAGCUCCUGUCUCCUAAACAAUUUAUGAACUAAUCAAUUAUUAAAUGAAGAAAUGCUAUGUAAAUGCAAAGAUAUUUCUUCCUGUGGAAUUUGAGUCUUAAAUUUAGUAAUUACUGUUUUAUGGCAUAAAUAAAAGUUAAAUAUUAUAUUAUUUUAAAAGCAUCAUGUAUCUUUUUUCAUUCCUAAUGUAUUCUACUAGUAGUGUGUCAGGCACUUUAACCCUUAUGAAAAAAGCCAAGGAAAAUAGAGAGCAUCAUAUCAAAACAACUGUUUAUUUGCACAUGCAACAUUAAACUAUGGUAUACA